GAUGAACGCUGGCGGCGUGCCUAAUACAUGCAAGUCGAGCGAACAGACGAGGAGCUUGCUCCUCUGACGUUAGCGGCGGACGGGUGAGUAACACGUGGAUAACCUACCUAUAAGACUGGGAUAACUUCGGGAAACCGGAGCUAAUACCGGAUAACAUGUUGAACCGCAUGGUUCAACAGUGAAAGACGGUCUUGCUGUCACUUAUAGAUGGAUCCGCGCCGCAUUAGCUAGUUGGUAAGGUAACGGCUUACCAAGGCAACGAUGCGUAGCCGACCUGAGAGGGGGAUCGGCCACACGGGAACUGAGACACGGUCCAGACUCCUACGGGAGGCAGCAGUAGGAAAUCUUCCGCAAUGGGCGAAAGCCUGACGGAGCAACGCCGCGUGAGUGAAGAAGGUCUUCGGAUCGUAAAACUCUGUUAUUAGGGAAGAACAAAUGUGUAAGUAACUAUGCACGUCUUGACGGUACCUAAUCAGAAAGCCACGGCUAACUACGUG
rnacentral:rRNA from 1 species